rnacentral:rRNA from 1 species
UUGACCUCGGAUCAGGUAGGAAUACCCGCUGAACUUAAGCAUAUCAAUAAGCGGAGGAAAAGAAACCAACAGGGAUUGCCCUAGUAACGGCGAGUGAAGCGGCAACAGCUCAAAUUUGAAAUCUGGUCGCAAGGCCCGAGUUGUAAUUUGUAGAGGAUGCUUUUGGUGCGGUGCCUUCUGAGUUCCCUGGAACGGGACGCCAUAGAGGGUGAGAGCCCCGUAUAGUUGGACACCAAACCUUUGUAUAGCUCCUUCGACGAGUCGAGUAGUUUGGGAAUGCUGCUCAAAAUGGGAGGUAAAAUUCUUCUAAAGCUAAAUACCGGCCAGAGACCGAUAGCGCACAAGUAGAGUGAUCGAAAGAUGAAAAGCACUUUGAAAAGAGGGUUAAAUAGCACGUGAAAUUGUUGAAAGGGAAGCGCCUAUGACCAGACUUGCGCCCGGCGGAUCAUCCAGCGUUCUCGCUGGUGCACUUCGCCGGGCUCAGGCCAGCAUCGGUUCUUCUAGGGGGAUAAAGGUGCUGGGAACGUAGCUCCAUUCGUGGAGUGUUAUAGCCCAGCGCGUAAUGCCCCUGGGGGGACCGAGGACCGCGCUUCUGCAAGGAUGCUGGCGUAAUGGUCAUCAGCGACCCGUCUUGAAACACGGACCAAGGAGUCAAGCAUUAGGGCGAGUGUUUGGGUGUAAAACCCGCACGCGUAAUGAAAGUGAACGUAGAUGAGAGCUUCGGCGCAUCAUCGACCGAUCCUGAUGUAUUCGGAUGGAUUUGAGUAAGAGCCUUACCGCUUGGACCCGAAAGAUGGUGAACUAUGCUUGUAUAGGGUGAAGCCAGAGGAAACUCUGGUGGAGGCUCGCAGCGGUUCUGACGUGCAAAUCGAUCGUCAAAUAUGAGCAUGGGGGCGAAAGACUAAUCGAACCAUCUAGUAGCUGGUUACCGCCGAAGUUUCCCUCAGGAUAGCAGUGUUGUUUUCAGUUUUAUGAGGUAAAGCGAAUGAUUAGGGACUCGGGGGCGCUAUUUAGCCUUCAUCCAUUCUCAAACUUUAAAUAUGUAAGAAGCCCUUGUUGCUUAAUUGAACGUGGGCAUUCGAAUGUAUCAACACUAGUGGGCCAUUUUUGGUAAGCAGAACUGGCGAUGCGGGAUGAACCGAACGCGGGGUUAAGGUGCCGGAGUGGACGCUCAUCAGACACCACAAAAGGCGUUAGUACAUCUUGACAGCAGGACGGUGGCCAUGGAAGUCGGAAUCCGCUAAGGACUGUGUAACAACUCACCUGCCGAAUGUACUAGCCCUGAAAAUGGAUGGCGCUCAAGCGUCCCACCCAUACCCCGCCCUCAGGGUAGAAACGAUGCCCUGAGGAGUAGGCGGCCGCGGGAGUGGUGACGAAGCCUAGGGCGUGAGCCCGGGUCGAACCGCUCCUGGUGCAGAUCUUGGUGAGAGUAGCAAAUACUUCAAUGAGAACUUGAAGGACCGAAGUGGGGAAAGGUUCCAUGUGAACAGCGGUUGGACAUGGGUUAGUCGAUCCUAAGCCAUAGGGAAGUUCCGUUUCAAAGGGGCACUUGUGCCCCGUGUGGCGAAAGGGCAGCAGGUUAAUAUUCCUGCACCUGGAUGUGGGUUUUGCGCGGCAACGCAACUGAACGCGGAGACGACGGCGGGGGCCCCGGGCAGAGUUCUCUUUUCUUCUUAACAGUCUACCACCCUGAAAACAGUUUGUCUGGAGCUAGGGUUCAACGGCUGGAAGAGCCCAGCACUUCUGUUGGGUCCGGUGCGCUCUCGACGUCCCUUGAAAAUCCGCGGGAGGGAAUAAUUCUCACGCCAGCUCGUACUCAUAACCGCAGCAGGUCUCCAAGGUG